AACGACUCUCGGCAACGGAUAUCUCGGCUCUCGCAUCGAUGAAGAACGUAGCGAAAUGCGAUACUUGGUGUGAAUUGCAGAAUCCCGUGAACCAUCGAGUCUUUGAACGCAAGUUGCGCCCCAAGCCUUCUGGCCGAGGGCACGUCUGCCUGGUUGUCACAAA
rnacentral:rRNA from 1 species